AGAUAAGAGAAUAAUUAACAAUGAAGAGAGGCCUUUGCUUGAAGACAACUUGAGUAAGAACUUUCACGGGCUCGGGGUAUGGAUUUGAGAGAACAAAAGAUGGGACUUUCUCCUCCUUGCCUUCCACCAUGAUUGUGAGGCUUCCCCAGCCACGUGGAACAGCCAAUUGGAACAACUGGAACUGGUAUACUAUAAUCUUCCUGGAAUAAGAAUAUGGAUUACACAAAGUUUAUACUCAAUAAAUACUUGAGAAGGGAAGAAAGGGACUAAGGGAGGAGAGAAGAGAAAGAGGAGGAAAAAGAAGAAAAUAGGUUUAAAGGAAAGAAAGGAAGAGAUGGAAAAAAAGUUUCUCACAAACACAGAGGCUCCAGCUCUGAGUUGAGGCACCAGUUGAGAACAAUAGGAAAAAGCAAGU
rnacentral:lncRNA from 10 species